AUUGAACGCUGGCGGCAUGCCUUACACAUGCAAGUCGAACGGCAGCACGGGGGCAACCCUGGUGGCGAGUGGCGAACGGGUGAGUAACGCAUCGGAACGUGCCCAGUAGUGGGGGAUAACCAGUCGAAAGACUGGCUAAUACCGCAUACGACCUAAGGGUGAAAGCGGGGGACCGUAAGGCCUCGCGCUAUUGGAGCGGCCGAUGUCUGAUUAGCUAGUUGGUGAGGUAAAGGCUCACCAAGGCGACGAUCAGUAGCUGGUCUGAGAGGAUGACCAGCCACACUGGGACUGAGACACGGCCCAGACUCCUACGGGAGGCAGCAGUGGGGAAUUUUGGACAAUGGGCGCAAGCCUGAUCCAGCCAUGCCGCGUGCGGGAAGAAGGCCUUCGGGUUGUAAACCGCUUUUGGCAGGAACGAAACGGCAUCCCCUAAUACGGGGUGUUAAUGACGGUACCUGCAGAAUAAGCACCGGCUAACUACGUGCCAGCAGCCGCAGUAA
rnacentral:rRNA from 1 species